CUUUGGGAUGUGUUAGUCAUAAGAAUGAAGCUACUGGUGCUUUGCAGGAAUAUUUUCACUCUGGCUCUCGCAGGAGAGCUCUGACACAGCCCUGCUGUCGGCACGGCUGGGGCGCGUUUGCUCGCUGGUGCCUCCUGAGAUUCCAGACCACUCCAAAAAAAAGGGGGAAACGUCCAAUUUUUAUUUCCUCAGGGAACACUAAGAAAAUUUUUCUUUCCGAGCCUGUCUCCUGAAACGAGCUCCAGGAGUGGUCACAACCUGCCAUAAAAAUGCCAUGUGCAAGAGAAUAUAUUUAAUAUCGGGCAAGCAGAAUGGAACGAUACGAUCUGUUUGGGGUUCGAAGAUUGGAAGGGGAAGAUAAAUACCCUGGUAGCUGAGAUAAUCCUGGUGGAACAAUCCUGUAAUAUCUGCUGCAAGCUGCGUGCACGACUGGAUUGGGAACUUCCAAAUGGGAACAUUUCCAGCGUGUGCAGUGUCUCGCCUCUGAUUUAAAUUCCCUUAAUUCUACCCUUGAAGUUUCUAGUCCUUUACACUUAAAAAGGGAGAACUGCUUAUUAUUUGUGCUUGGGAAAGGAGACAAGACCUUUGAGUCUCAAAAUGUGCUUUUUUUUCCUUUUCCUUUCCUUCAGAAAAAUGUAAUUGCACACAAAACCCCUCUAAACAAUUCUCCUUGGCUGCCUGAAGAGUCCCUUGGCUGAAUUGUAAAUCACUGUAAAGUGCAACAAAAUAAAAAAAAAAUAAAAAAAUAGCAAGAUCAGGGCAUAAAUGAGGUUUGGAACUGUCUAGUCUGGGGUUCUGUGAGGUAAUUAAAUCAAGGAGACUUUCUGAUCUAUAGAAGGGUCAAUGUAGCAGGGCAGUGCUUUGAACCAUGGGCUCAUUAAGGCACAAUUGCCUUCUUUGCUGCCCGGAUUGUUUAUAACAGAGGAUUAUUUCAGAGCAGUCAAUAACUGGAGAGCAUAAAUCACAGGGCAGGAAGAGUUAUCCCCACUUGAUGGGCCAGAUCCUCAGCUGGUGUAAAUCCCUGCUGCCCCACUGGUGUCACCCCAGGGCUUUAUUUACACAGUCCCAAGUUCUGGCUCAUGCUGGUCCCCUUGGAUUGGAUUUUAUUGACUCCUUCUGUGGGCACAGAUUUUCAUGGAUGGGAUGGGAGCAGAGAUGUGGGAAUUCCAAGCACAGAAAGCUCUCAAAAUCUUGUAAAUACGAGCUUAGAUAUAGACAUGGACACAAGGCUUGACUUGAGGCCUUGGAGAAAGCUUCCAUAAAAUCAUAAGUGAGAAUAUGAAUUUAAAUAGAAAGACAUCAGGUUAAGUUGUAGGAAGUUUUAAGAUUUUAAUGUCAAUAAAAAGAAGUAGUUAUAAAGGUAAUAAGAGGUUUAAAGUAUAACAAGUAGCUUUGUGUGUCAUUGCAUGAUUGGUUAAGAAAGUCCUCACUGAGGCAGAGAUGUAUAAAACAAAAUAAUUAACUAUUGGUGUGAAAGUAGAAACAUUCUUUUGUGGCAUUAGUUUAUUGGCUAAUUAAUCUUUAAAAGAUCUUAUAACCUGUAGCCUUGUGACACUGACCAAGAACAGCUGGUGAAUCAGGUGAAGAUGUGCUCACUCCUUCAUGAGACUGCAGAAUUAAAAUAAUAAAUCACGCUUUGAAGCGUCUUUAAGUGGCCCCGUCUCUCUGGCAGAGCCCGGCAGGAGCUGGCAGUGUGAAGUCAUUUCUGUGCCCUGUGUCAUCACGCUGAUGUCAGGGCUGCUGUCAGCACUGCCAGGGUGGUGUUUAUGAAGCUGGAGAUCGAUAUUAAAUACUGGAUUUAGGAUCCAUUGGCAGAGCUGCAGCUCGGACUGUGUUUGACCUUCUUUGGCUGACAGGGAGCCAGAGGGGUUUUUCCAUGGCAUUAAGUUAAAGGAGUUUCCACUGCCCAGCUUUCUCUUCUCCCUCCACCAUGUCGCAGUCCCAGCUCUCAUUGGGAACCAUAAAAAAAAGAUUUCUCGGAGGAAAUAAAAAUUUAUGGAAGAAAUCUCCAGAGAACAAAACAUCAAACCAGCAAAGAGACAGAACACGAGGAAGCAGCCAAGGAAUAAUGUGAAAAAUUGAUGAGCAGAGCUGCAGAAACUGGAAAACAAUAAACAAGCAGAAUCUGCUUA